rnacentral:rRNA from 1 species
UACGGGGGGGGCAAGCGUUAUUCGGAAUUAUUGGGCGUAAAGGGCGCGUAGGCGGCCUUUCAAGUGACGGGUGAAAUCCCUCGGCUUAACCGAGGAACUGCCUGUCAGACUGGAAGGCUUGAGACCGGGAGAGGUGAGUGGAAUUCCAGGUGUAGCGGUGAAGUGCGUAGAUAUCUGGAGGAACACCGGUGGCGAAGGCGGCAUCCUGGACCGGCAUUGACGCUGAGGCGCGAAAGCCAGGGGAGCAAACGGG